CCCCCCGUUUCCGGUGGGUCUAGAAUGCUAGUCUGCGUCUUCUAGCCUGGUGAAGAUGCGGCAUACAGCUCAGUAACACGUGGCUAACCUACCCUUAGGACGGAAACAUCCCCGGGAAACUGGGGUCAAUUUCCGAUAGGUGAAAAUUCCUGGAAAGGUUUUUUGCCCAAAGGGUGUUUGGAUCAUGCUUCUAGGCGUUGCCCAAGGAUGGGGCCGCGGCCGAUCAGGUUGUUGGUGAGGUAACGGCUCACCAAGCCUUUAACCGGUGCGGGCCGUGGGAGCGGGAGCCCGGAGAUGGGCACUGAGACAAGGGCCCAGGCCCUACGGGGCGCAGCAGUCGCGAAAACUUCGCAAUAAGCGAAAGCUUGACGGGGCUAUCCCGAGUGCCAUCCGCUGAGGAUGGCUUUUACCCAGUAUAGAUAGCUGGGGGAAUAAGGAGAGGGCAAGUCUGGUGUCAGCCGCCGCGGUAAUACCAGCUCUCCGAGUUGUGGGGAUAUUUAUUGGGCCUAAAGCAUCCGUAGCCGGCUGAACAAGUCCCCUGUUAAACCCAGCGACUAAUCGUUGGUCUGCGGGGGAUACUGUUCGGCUAGGGGGCGGGAGAGGCCGUCGGUAUUCCUGGGGUAGGGGUGAAAUCCUAUAAUCCCAGGAGGACCACCAGUGGCGAAGGCUGUCGGCUAGAACGCGCCCGACGGUGAGGGAUGAAAGCUGGGGGAGCGAACCGGAUUAGAUACCCGGGUAGUCCCAGCUGUAAACGAUGCAGGCUAGGUGUUAGGGCGGCUACGUGCCGCUCUAGUGCCGCAGGGAAGCUGUUAAGCCUGCCGCCUGGGAGUACGGCCGCAAGGCUGAAACUUAAAG
rnacentral:rRNA from 1 species